GUGCGGGAUAUAGCUUGAAACCAAAAUUUUUUUCAGGAGAUCAUGAUUGUGUUCCUCAUUUUCUAGGUGCCUGCUUUGAGACCCUGGGGUAUGACCCACUUGUGCUGCUCAAGUUGACUUGAAUGGUGUGACAAAUGUAGUCUCUUUAUUUUGCUACGAGAUGCAGACAGAUCACUUUGCCAGCUGUCAAGGCAAAUAUUGCUGUAUAGUCCUUGGUCUCAACAACAUAUUUAGUAUCCUGGUGAUGGGUGCCUUCAAAGGACUGGACAGAACAAACUUCAUACUGCACCUGUGUUUUAGGUUCUCUGCUCUGCAGAAAGCUGCACUGUUUGGAAGAAGUGAGAUUGUCUUUCCUUACAGCUGCGACGCUGCACCACUCUCGACAUAGCCUGCUUUUCCCCCCAUUUACCUGGGCGGCUGCUGCUGUUUCUGCUGCUGCUGGGGCUGCUGCAGUCUCACUGCCUGCGCUUCACCCUGGCUUGUCUGACUCGAGACUCACUCGUCUGCACAUUGCUAAGGAAGAAGAGCCAUGGAGCCGCAUUUUUUUCUGUUGGUUCUGGAAGCAAAGGGUUGUG
rnacentral:lncRNA from 1 species